rnacentral:lncRNA from 1 species
AAUAUUUAUGUAGAAAACAUCAUCUUAUGUCUUCUAACUUAAAAAACUAAAAGUAUUUCUCGGAUAUAGAUAGUAAUUUUCUCAUAUGAAAUUUUAAACUGUGAAAAAAUCUAAAAAAAAUUUAAAACCAUAUGAUUUUAAAGAAUUAUAAAAUUAACCAAACAGUUGUGGCUCAGUUGGCAGCGCAGGCUGAGUAAGUGAGAAGAGCUCUCGGGUUCGAUCCCCACUAAACACACCAUUUGAGAGGGAUAAAGAGCUUUAAGUCUUUAACUGUGACUACACUCCGAAUCCGGAUUAACCGAAUCCGGAUUAGUCAGGGUCUAAUGCGGUUGCCGGAAAUCGGGUGGUUUAAACCAAAAAAAAGAAUUAUAAAAUUAACAUUUUAAAACCGUAUAAUUUUAAAACUUUAUCAUACUUUUCCGCAUUUUAAGAAAACCGCAUUUUAAGAAAAUGAAGAAAGGGUAGUACUUACGCACACGACGUGGGAGUAUAAAUAACUUCAAGUCAAGGCUGAUACUAUCGACGAAAAGCUCUAGAACGAGCACGACAAAAUCAAAUUUAUUUAUUUCAGAAUUAGCCAGAAAUCACCUGUACCAUCCAAGUUUCCAUAAGAAAACCGCAUUUUAAGAAAAUGAAGAAAGGGUAGUACUUACGCACACGACGUGGGAGUAUAAAUAACUUCAAGUCAAGGCUGAUACUAUCGACGAAAAGCUCUAGAACGAGCACGACAAAAUCAAAUUUGCGACUCCCAAGUUCCAUCAGACCUUUACGUUUGCAACAUGGUUACGUCGUUGCUUGCUUGCUUUGCUUGUGCCCUUUUUGAUUCGUUAAUUCGUUCCGGUUCCUUUGAAAGCUAAUCUGUCUGAAUUCUGCUGCAUUGAAUGCAAAGUCUAGAAGAGGUACGUUGGCAUCACUUAACAGUAACACGCGAGCACCUCUCCAGAGUCACACUGCAUACUCUAGAGUCUAGAGUAACAGUUUUUUUGGCAGCGGCUUUUGUUGGUUCCCUCGUACAUUCAAGAGGAUUUGGUUUUUGUUUAUCUAUUUAUUUAUUUAUUUCAGAAUUAGCCAGAAAUCACCUGUACCAUCCAAGUUUCCAUAUAUAUAUAAAGCGUGGAAUCGUCAUAAUCUCUGACACAACAGAGCAAAGCCAAAAACAAGAUUCAAUGGAGAACCUCGGAGAGUCUCACAUGCAACAAAAGAAAGGAAGAAGAUUGAUACUCUUUCCGCUGCCUUUUCAAGGCCACAUAAACCCAAUGCUUCAGCUUGCAAACAUUCUCUAUUCAAAAGGCUUUUCAAUCACCAUAAUCCACACCAAAUUCAACUCCCCGAAUCGCUUUUCAAUCACCAUAAUCCACACCAACUUCAACUCCCCGAAUCCCUCAAACUACCCUCACUUCACCUUCUGUUCAAUCCAAGACGGCUUGUCAGAAACUGAAGCCUCUACCACGGAUUUUGUGGCCCUUAUUUCAGUACUGCAUGUUAAGUGUGCUGCGCCAUUUCAGGAUUGCUUGGCCAAGUUGCUGUCAAAUGCUGAGGAGAAGGAAGAAGAGCCUAUUGCUUGCUUAAUCACAGAUGCUAGUUGGUUCUUCACUCAUGAUGUUGCUGAAAGCCUAAAGCUCCCCAGGAUUGUGUUAAGGAGUCUCAGUGUCUCUUCCUCUCUUGUUUAUGCUGCCUUACCAGUUCUAAGCCAAAAGGGUUACUUUCCCAUACAAGGUGCAAUUCAAUAACUUCUUGCUUCUAGUGUGUUUCAUUGAUAAUUUUUUCAGUAGGCAUUGUUUGAUUAUUAAAUAUUUGCCCUCGACAGAUCUUCCCUGAGGAUGAUUCAGAUUCUUGUUACAUAAAAAGUAGUUAAAUAAAAUCUGAAGGACACCAAUUCAUAAUAGUAAUGACUAAUGAUCACUGCACUUGGUAUCUAAAUUAUCUUCUUUUUUUAAUUAUUUUUGUUCUUCAUUGUUCAGAUUCUCAUGAUUUGGAAGCCCCAGUGCCAGAGCUUCCGCCUCUAAGAAUGAAAGACAUUCCUGUCAUUGAAACGCUUUAUCAAGAGACACUGCAUCAAUUUGCAGCAGAAGCAAUCAAUCAGAUGAAGGCUUCCUCAGGAUGCAUAUGGAAUUCAGUUCAGGAACUUGAACAAGAUUCUCUUGCUAAAUUUCACCGGGAGUUCCCCAUUCCAUCGUUCCCUAUAGGCCCGUUUCACAAGUACUAUCCAGCUUCUGCAAGUAGCUUAUUGUCACAAGACCGAAUCUGCAUUUCUAGGUUAGACAAACAGGCACCAAAAUCUGUAAUUUAUGUAAGUUUUGGAAGCAUUGCUGCCAUUGAUGAGACCAAAUUUUUGGAAGUAGCUUGGGGCCUAGCCAACAGCAAGGUGCCAUUCUUGUGGGUGGUACGGCCAGGACUAGUCCGCGGAGCAGAAUGGAUUGAGCUAUUACCACGAGGGUUCUUGGAAAUGUUAGACGGAAGAGGGCAUAUAGUGAAAUGGGCUCCCCAGCAAGAAGUGCUAGCUCAUCCUGCCACCGGAGCAUUUUGGACACAUUGUGGCUGGAAUUCGACGUUGGAAAGUAUGUGUGAAGGUGUCCCCAUGAUAUGCCAGCCUUGUCAUGGUGAGCAAAUGGUGAUUGCAAGAUAUGUUAGUGAUGUUUGGAAAGUUGGUUUGCAUUUGGAAAGGAAGCUGGAGAGAGGGGAGGUUGAAAGGGCAAUUAGAAGAGUAAUGGUGGAUGCCGAGGGGCGGGAAAUGAGGAACAGAGCUGAGAUUCUGAAGGAAAAACUGGAUCUUUGUACAAAGCAAGGCAGUUCUUCAUAUCAAUCUCUAGAAAACUUGAUUAGUUACAUUUUGUCAUACUAGAUUUUCCAAUACUUACAUCUAUCUUUCUAAUAAGGGCAGUAUGAAAAUUAAAACAUGGCAUGUCCCGGCCGUAUUCAAUGAGAUCUUUCUGAAUAUUUAUGUGAUCAGCGUUCCCCAACCCAAGGAGUGAAACUUGAAGGACUUAUCCAAAAUCCGUAGCAAGGCCAAGUUUAUAUUGUUUAAGGGGAUUUUUUUUUUUUUGCAAUAAUUGUGGGGUGUUGAAGAAAAAGCUGAUAAGAUAGUGACCUGCACUCUCUUCUAGUCUUCUUGCAUUAACAGUGUCCGAAGUUUGUGCAUUUGUUGGAUAUUUCUGAUCCUUACAGGAAAUCAAAAGUCGGAUUUGUAUUUGUGAGCUGAAUAAAGACGUGAGUUGGUUUGUGUUGCUCUCGUUGUUUAAUUUCCCCUUCUUCAUGUGAAGGAAUGCAUUAUAUUUCAUUUAGCAAUUUAUUAGAUUAUUAAUUAUUGUUGCUCGUUAAACUAAAGUUUCGUUCACCAAUAAAAUAUUUAAUUAACUCAUUGUACGUGUGUACGGCUAAUGAACAACAGUAUAAGUGAGAAAUUAAACAGAAAGCAGGAAGCAGAAAGAUUCAAUGGAGAAUCAAAUAGAGUCACAUACGCAACAAUAAGAACGGAAUAAGAGUGAUACUCUUCGCAUAAGAGUCCAUGCUUCAGCUUGCAAGCAUUCUCUAUUCCAGAGGCUUCUCAGCCUCUGUAAUUCAAUACCAGCUUCAACUCUCCAAAAUCUUCAAACUACGUACCCUCUCUUCUAGUGGAGCUGUGGAGUUCCCCAAAAAAAACCCAUAAUUUUCUAUCCGACCUUUUCCUUUGAUAUGAUUAUUAGUGGAGGAGAAAAAAUGAGUCAGAAACUUUAGAUUAGACAUCUGCAAUUCUGCAUGGGUAACGUAACGUCACUCAUUCAAUAGUUGGGCUAAAGUUUGGAUUCUUAUAAGAGGGCGAGAUAAGCCCAUUGGGCCUAUAAGCUGAUAACACCGCCGAAAAGCUAACUAAAACAGGAGCAGCAAAUCAAAUUAUUACUUCAGUUUUAUGGCUGCCACAUGGUUCUCUGCUUGUCUUGUCUAAUGGGCAACGCCAAUGCGUCGGUGCUCUGCCUUUGUGCCCCAUCUAAUAAUAUAUUAUGAUUAUGAUUAUUAUCUAAUUCAUGCAUAUCCUUUCUAAGUGAUUGGGUUGCCACUAUUUUACAUUACUUUUUUACAUCCUUUUUUUAUGCAUGUAUUGCUUUAUGCAAGUCUAAAAGAGGUUCUAUGACACAAUCCAUGGGUUUAUCCAAACUCAAAUCAAAUUAAAUGGUUUGGGUUGGGUAAAUCAUUAAAAUGGGUUAGAUGUGGGUUUUAUGUAAAAAACCAUUUCAUUAUGGUUUGGGUAUGGUUUACCCAUGGGUUAUGGAUAAAACCCCAACACUUAAAUUUUCAAAUGAAAUAAAUCACCAUUAAAUUUUUUACGGCUGAUCAAUUAUCAACAGUUUGAAAAUGAAAAUAACAGUAAAAAUAAAUUUAAAUUAAAUAAAUAUUGUUGUAAAUAACAUAAAUUUUUUUUCUUAUUUACAAAAAUAAUUCCUCCCACAUGGAAAGAUCAUCAUAGAAAGAGCAGGAGACUCUACUAAUGAUCAAUAAUAAUUCGGCUUGGAUUGGGUCCGAUAUGCUAGAUGUCGGCUAAUUUUUGGUUAAUAAUUGAAUGUAAUGCCCAUAUUAAGUAUUAAAACAAGAAAUAUAUAUUUUGAUAUGAGUAGAAAAAUUAAUAAUAAAAUUUUUUCUUGUAAUUAUUUAUUUUGUGAACAUUUUCUUAUAAUAAAUAUUUUGUAAUAUUUUAAAAUUAAAUGUAAAAAGUAUAGGUAAAAUAUUUUAUUAUUUAUCUUAUAAUAAAUUUUUAUUUGUCAAUCAAGUUUUCUUAUAAUAAUUUUUUUAUCAUUUUACUAAUAAUUUUCUUAUAUAUUUAUUAUAAGAAAAUUUUCAAAAAAUAAAUAAGUAUAAAAAAAUUUUAUUAUUAAUUUUUUUGUUCAUAUCAAAACAAAUAUUUCUUAUUUUUAAUGCUUUAUUUUUUAUUUAGUUUCUAUUCAUGUGAUUUAUUUAAUUUAUAAUAAAUGUAAAUAAAAGAGUAAUUAAAAAUUACCAAAACGAUAAAUAAAAACAAAUAUUGCAUAAUUAAAUAAAUAACAAGUGGCAAAAUUUAUUAUUAGAUUGUUAAUGUCAUGUUUGUGAAAGUUUAUUAUUAAAGUGUACGUUCUUAUUUAUUGAGAAAUAAUAAUUUUUGUGAUUAAACUUUAUUUUGAUUUUCUAGUAUUCUUUAAUUUAAGGAUUAAGUUAUUGUAAAAUUUAUAAUUUUUAUCCACUAUAUUUUUUAUAUUUUAAUAUCAAUUUAAUAAUUAAUAACAAUUAAUAAUUAUUAUAAUUUUGAUAUAAUUAAAUUUUAUUAAAAUAAAAAUUAUUUUGAUAAUAAAAUUCAAACCAAACCCAAACCAAACUCAAAUGGUUUGGUUUGGUUUGGGUUAAAAAUAUUUGGGUUGGUUUGGGUUGGAUCCAAAUUUUUAUGGUUUGGUUUGGGUUGACUUAAAAUCCAACCCAAACCAACCCAUGCCCACCCCUAGAUAGGGUCAUACAAACUCAAAAAAGUAAGCACCUCUUUCUUUUUAUAUGCAUUUAAUUUUUGACCUACUUGGUGUGCUAGUGUUAUGGUGUAAAGACAAGAUUGGAUCUGUAAUCUCAAAACAAAAUUUAGUGGGUGAUGUCAUUGUGCAAUAUUGUCACGAGCCUUCUGGUUGAUUCAUAAUGUCGGCAUUAUUUAUAGAACAUUAUAGAAUAUAAAAUAAAUUUACGAAAUUAUAUUUGAUAGUGAACUGUUUUAUGGGAUCCCCUAUCUUACAUGCAUGUAAGAUACAUGUCUCUCACAUGAAUAGUGUGUGGGUCCCACAUAUACACUAUUCAUGUGAGAGGCAUGUAUCUUACAUGCAUGUAAGAUAGAGUUUGCCCUGUUUUAUUGAUCUUUGUGCAUGAGACUCAGUUUUCUUAACACCAAGAGAUUCCAUUUGUCGGCUCAAUAAUUUAUGAAGGUGAGUUUGUAUAUUAUAUAGAUCAUGCGAAUUGCGACCGUCUCUUAAAAGGUGGCAUUUGUUGGAUUCCUUGUACAUUUUAGGUGUUUUUGAUAUACUAUAUUUUAUUAUAAUGUAAUAUAAUAUAAAGUUUUGUAAUGUUUGGUAUUAUAUCGUACAUUAUUAUAUAUAAUAUUAUUUAUAUUAAAUUAAUUUUUUAUAAUUAUAAAUAUCUUAAAAAUUUUAUAGUUUAUAUUUAUUAUUUAAAUUUAUAAAUAUAAAUAAAAUUAUUCACCAACGAUCACCGUGAACCAUUGCAAAUUGCUUCGGGCAUUCAUAUUUUGAUAAUUUUUUUUAAACUUCAAUUCUAGUGCUAUUAGAAUCCUUGUCAGCGGAUCGGAUCUAUACAACGAGUGAGCAAAAGCUUUGAUUCUGCUAUUACAUAUGCUAUCGAGUAAUUCCAAUGAUAAAGACUCCAUUGGUACCAAAAUUGAUGUCAAAGAAUGCUAAAAUAAUAUUAUUGGUGGUGGAUUGUGGUGGUCAGCAUUCGAAUUUAUUGUUUUAUAAACUAAUAAUAAAUAAAUUAAAUAUAUUGUAAUUGAUUAAAUAAUUCUACGUUUUAAAAGUCAGCAAUAUAUCUUAGUCACGGUGGGAUUGUAUAUCAUUACUUUAUGGGCCCAGCAUUACUUUGAUAUUGCGGCAAAAGAUGCAUUAAGGCCUUCGGUUAAUGUUGCUCAAUGCAAAUUUAAUAUAGAAAGCAGAGUCAUUUGAAUCUUUCAUUAAACACAACAUAGCAAGCCAAAAGAAGAAAGAUUCAAUGGAUGUACUUGGAGAUUCUCACAUUCAUCAAAAGAAAGGAAGAAGACUGAUACUCUUCCCACUGCCUUUACAAGGCCACAUAAACCCAAUGCUUCAGCUUGCAAACAUUCUCUAUUCAAAAGGCUUUUCAAUCACCAUAAUCCACACCAACUUCAACUCCCCGAAUCCCUCAAACUACCCUCACUUCACCUUCUGUUCAAUCGAAGACAGCUUGUCAGAAACUGAAGCCUCUACCGCGGAUUUAGUGGCUCUUCUUUCACUACUUAAUGUUCAGUGUGUUGUGCCAUUUCGGAAUU